rnacentral:rRNA from 1 species
UAAGGAAUAUUGGUCAAUGGACGCAAGUCUGAACCAGCCAUGCCGCGUGGAGGAUGAAGGUCCUCUGGAUUGUAAACUUCUUUUAUUUGGGAAGAAAUCUAUCUUUUCUUGGAUAGUUGACGGUACCAGAUGAAUAAGCACCGGCUAACUCCGUGCCAGCAGCCGCGGUAAUACGGAGGGUGCAAGCGUUAUCCGGAUUCACUGGGUUUAAAGGGUGCGUAGGUGGGCAAGUAAGUCAGUGGUGAAAUCUCCGGGCUUAACCCGGAAACUGCCAUUGAUACUAUUUGUCUUGAAUACUGUGGAGGUCAGCGGAAUAUGUCAUGUAGCGGUGAAAUGCUUAGAUAUGACAUAGAACACCAAUUGCGAAGGCAGCUGGCUACACAAAUAUUGACACUGAGGCACGAAAGCGUGGGGAUCAAAC